AGCGCAGGCGGUUUCUUAAGUCUGAUGUGAAAGCCUUCGGCUCAACCGAAGAAGUGCAUCGGAAACUGGGAAACUUGAGUGCAGAAGAGGACAGUGGAACUCCAUGUGUAGCGGUGAAAUGCGUAGAUAUAUGGAAGAACACCAGUGGCGAAGGCGGCUGUCUGGUCUGUAACUGACGCUGAGGCUCGAAAGCAUGGGGAGCAAACA
rnacentral:rRNA from 1 species